CAAGCGGUGGAUGAUGUGGAUUAAUUCGAUGCAACGCGAAAAACCUUACCUACCCUUGACAUGUCAGGAACCCUGGAGAGAUCUAGGGGUGCUCGAAAGAGAGCCUGAACACAGGUGCUGCAUGGCUGUCGUCAGCUCGUGUCGUGAGAUGUUGGGUUAAGUCCCGCAACGAGCGCAACCCUUGUCAUUAGUUGCUACGAAAGGGCACUCUAAUGAGACUGCCGGUGACAAACCGGAGGAAGGUGGGGAUGACGUCAAGUCCUCAUGGCCCUUAUGGGUAGGGCUUCACACGUCAUACAAUGGUACAUACAGAGGGCCGCCAACCCGCGAGGGGGAGCUAAUCCCAGAAAGUGUAUCGUAGUCCGGAUUGUAGUCUGCAACUCGACUACAUGAAGUUGGAAUCGCUAGUAAUCGCGGAUCAGCAUGUCGCGGUGAAUACGUUCCCGGGUCUUGUACACACC
rnacentral:rRNA from 1 species